rnacentral:rRNA from 1 species
GAUGAACGCUGGCGGCGUGCCUAAUACAUGCAAGUCGAGCGAACGGACGAGAAGCUUGCUUCUCUGAUGUUAGCGGCGGACGGGUGAGUAACACGUGGAUAACCUACCUAUAAGACUGGGAUAAAUUCGGGAAACCGGAGCUAAUACCGGAUAAUAUUUUGAACCGCAUGGUUCAAAAGUGAAAGACGGUCUUGCUGUCACUUAUAGAUGGAUCCGCGCUGCAUUAGCUAGUUGGUAAGGUAACGGCUUACCAAGGCAACGAUGCAUAGCCGACCUGAGAGGGUGAUCGGCCACACUGGAACUGAGACACGGUCCAGACUCCUACGGGAGGCAGCAGUAGGGAAUCUUCCGCAAUGGGCGAAGGCCUGACGGAGCAACGCCGCGUGAGUGGUGAAGGUCUUCGGAUCGUAAAACGCUGUUAUUAGGGAAGAACAUAUGUGUAAGUAACUGUGCACAUCUUGACGGUACCUAAUCAGAAAGCCACGGCUAACUACGUG